rnacentral:rRNA from 1 species
AAACUCAAAGGAAUUGACGGGGACCCGCACAAGUAGCGGAGCAUGUGGUUUAAUUCGAAGCAACGCGAAGAACCUUACCUAGGCUUGACAUCCCUUUGAAAAACCCUUAACCGGGUUCCUUUCCUUCGGGAAACAAAGGAGACAGGUGGUGCAUGGUUGUCGUCAGCUCGUGUCGUGAGAUGUUGGGUUAAGUCCCGCAACGAGCGCAACCCUAUUUUAGUUGCCAUCAGCUAGGCUGGGCACUCUAGAAAGACUGCCGAGGAUAACUCGGAGGAAGGUGGGGAUGACGUCAAAUCAUCAUGCCCCUUAUGCUUAGGGCUACACACGUGCUACAAUGGCUGUUACAAAGGGCUGCAAUACCGCGAGGUGGAGCCAAUCCCAGAAAAACAGUCUAAGUUCGGAUUGCAGGCUGAAACUCGCCUGCAUGAAGCCGGAGUUACUAGUAAUCGCAGAUCAGAAUGCUGCGGUGAAUGCGUUCCCGGGUCUUGUACACACCGCCCGUCACACCAUGGAAGUUGGGGGCACCCAAAGUUAGUUAUCCAACCUUUUAGGAGGAGGCUACCUAAGGUGAAUUCAAUGACUGGGGUGAAGUCGUAACAAGGUAGCCGUAUCGGAAGGUGCGGCUGGAUCACCUCCUUUCUG